rnacentral:rRNA from 1 species
UACGUAGGGGGCGAGCGUUGUCCGGAAUUACUGGGCGUAAAGGGUGCGUAGGCGGCCGAUUAAGUUGGAUGUGAAAUACCCGGGCUUAACCUGGGGGGUGCAUCCAAUACUGGUUGGCUAGAGUGCAGGAGAGGGAAGCGGAAUUCCUAGUGUAGCGGUGAAAUGCGUAGAUAUUAGGAGGAACACCAGUGGCGAAGGCGGCUUUCUGGACUGUAACUGACGCUGAUGCACGAAAGCGUGGGGAGCAAACAGGAUUAGAAACCCCAGUAGUCC